GACGAACGCUGGCGGCGUGCCUAAUACAUGCAAGUCGAGCGGAUGGAAGGAAGCUUGCUUCCUAAAGUCAGCGGCGGACGGGUGAGUAACACGUGGGCAACCUGCCCCUAAGAUCGGGAUAACUUCGGGAAACCGGAGCUAAUACCGGAUAUGAUUAUGUCUCACAUGAGACAUAAUGGAAAGACGGUUUCGGCUGUCACUUAGGGAUGGGCCCGCGGCGCAUUAGCUAGUUGGUGAGGUAACGGCUCACCAAGGCGACGAUGCGUAGCCGACCUGAGAGGGUGAUCAGCCACACUGGGACUGAGACACGGCCCAGACUCCUACGGGAGGCAGCAGUAGGGAAUCUUCCGCAAUGGACGAAAGUCUGACGGAGCAACGCCGCGUGAGUGAAGAAGGUUUUCGGAUCGUAAAACUCUGUUGUUAGGGAAGAACGAGUACCAUAGUAACUGAUGGUACCUUGACGGUACCUAACCAGAAAGCCACGGCUAACUACGUGCCAGCCGCCGCGGUAAGAC
rnacentral:rRNA from 1 species